CCACCCUGGACCCCUCUGACAAGGGUCCUCCUUCUGCCGCAUGCCCAGGGACCCUCUGGGGCAUCAGACUCCGUGCCCCCCACCCCCGGGAUCCUCCCUCCACCCCCGCCACUUCCCAUGAGUGUCUCUCCCUACCUUAGCAUCCUCCUUACUUCAAUAACCACCCCUGGGAGUGGUGUCAUAGGACAGGGCUUUUGGUGACAGAGGGAAUGGUGGCAGCAGCUGUGGUUCCCCAUCAUGGGCAGGCGGUGGUGUGAGUGGACAGAGACCAUCCGUGUGGAGGAGGAAGUGGCACCCCGUCAGGAGGACCUGGUACCCUGUGCCAGCCUCGACCAUUACAGCCGCCUGGGCUGGCGGCUGGACCUGCCCUGGAGUGGCCGCUCGGGGCUUACCCGGUCCCCAGCGCCUGGGCUCUGUCCUAUCUACAAACCUCCAGAAACCCGGCCUGCCAAGUGGAACCGGACAGUGAGGACUUGUUG
rnacentral:lncRNA from 1 species